rnacentral:miRNA from 1 species
GGUUGGAAUCAAGAGGCCUGAUG